AGAAUCAACGCUGGCGGCGUGCCUAAUACAUGCAAGUCGAACGCGAAAGUCCCGCAAGGGAUGAGUAGAGUGGCAAACGGGUGAGUAACACGUGGGUGACCUGCCUUCGAGCGGGGGAUAACGUCCCGAAAGGGACGCUAAUACCGCAUGACAUCCUGCCUUUGAAGAGGCGGAGAUCAAAGCUGGGGAUCGCAAGACCUGGCACUUGAAGAGGGGCCCGCGCCUGAUUAGCUAGUUGGUGGGGUAACGGCUCACCAAGGCAACGAUCAGUA
rnacentral:rRNA from 1 species